CCGCAACGGGGUUAGCUCCUGUUGCUCUGUCCCAGCUCCUGCCAACCUAGCUAUUCAAAAGCAUGCCAGUGCAAGUGGAUAAAUAGGUACCACUGUUGCGGGAAGGUAAACGAUGUUUCCAUGUGCUCUGGUUUCCAUCAUGGUGUCCCGUUGUGCCAGAAGCAGUUUAGUCCUGCUGGCCACAUGACCCGGAAAGCUAUCAGUGAACAAACACUGGCUUCCUUGGCCUGGAAGCGGAUAUGAGUGCCACAACCCUUUGACUGGACUUAACCGUCCAGGGGCUCUUUACCUUUUACCUUUUUCCUUAUCCCCUCUAAUUACUACUUCAAUGGAAAUGUGAAAGAACUGCAGUCUUAGUCUUCCCCACAACUUAGAAGUCUGGGUCCUUAUAUGAAAACCCCCAAAAUAAUAAAGCUAAAACAGGUAUUCCAUUACUGGUCAGCUUACUCAAACAGGACUCUGGGAUUUCUGCCAUCUGGAAUUCCUAGGUUGUCCAUGUGUCCUACUCUGCAGAUGAUCUGAAGGAAUCCUCUGUUCAAAGGGCUGUGCAAACCAAGCUCAAUUCAAAGAUAAAGAACCAGAAGAAGGGAAUGGACCUUGAAUUUGUCCGAAAGUUGGCACCCGGACAGCAGACCAAGGAGGCAUACAGAGCACCCAGUUGCAGCCUGCCCUGCUAAGGUGAGAUAUCUUGUUUCUAUUUAAAAUAUAGUAAUUAUUUCCAACUGUAUAUAUGCAUUAAUUAAUACAUGCAGAUUAUAUGCAAAUCCAUGUCUUCUUUCUGGUAUUGCAUAACUGGCCACUCUACAGAUUUUGCAUUUUCAGUGUCCCAGGCAAAAGGAAGAGGAGUACCUCCCAGUUGUUGCUACUUCUUCUCCCACCACUACUAGGUUAGAUUUCCAUACCCUCCAACAUUUCUCUGAUGAAAAUAGGGACAUCCUAAAUGAUGAUGAUGAUGAUGAUGAUGAUGAUGAUUACCCCACCCAUCUGACUGGGUUGCCCCAGCCACUCUGGACAGCUUCCAACAUAUAUAAAAACAUAAUAGAACAUUAAACAUGAAAAAACUUCCCUAUACAGGGCUGCCUUCAGAUGUCUUCUAAUGGUUGCAUUGUUACUUAUCUCCUUGGCUCAGGGGUCACAUAACUCCAUACCACCCAACAUUUUCCAAUGAUAAUAGGGUUGUUCUAAGGGAAAACGGAACAUUCUGGGACCAAAUCAGAAACUGUGACAGCUUCUGUAAAUCUGAGACUUUCCUUGGAAGAUAGGGACGCUUGGAGGGUCUGGAUUCUGGAGAAUGAACGGGAGCAGUAGGGUAAUAUUUAGGCUUGUUGGGGGAAGAAUAAGCUUCAGAGAGUCAUGGAGGAGUUUGGAAAUUCUUGGGGAGGUUUUGAUUCUGCUUCAGUCCUGCUGAUGUUAUCAGGUACAUAACAGGUUUCUACAUUAUGGGAUCAUUAGGUGGAGAAAGCUUUUUUGAGGGGAAGGGGAACAAUUCAUUUGCUGAGCCCAAUUCCAAAUGCAACUGAAAAAGUUCCCCAUAACAAACAUGCACUACAAAAUCUACUGUACAUACACGACUCAUAUAUUUUCCUUUGCUAUUGUUGUCAUUGGUAAAACUUUGUGGCCCAGCAGUCAAGGGUUGCUUCAGAUUGAAAAGAUGGAUGAAGCCCAAAAGGGUUGCUAAUGGAGCACAGAUACCCAGAUGUCUGCAGAAUUUGAAGAUGCAAGGGGUGAGAAUUAUUUCACAUUGUGUUGAUGAGAUAUGGAUUGCCAGCAAUUAAAAAUCAAUUAUCCCCAAGCAGCUGCGUUCAUAUUUCAGCAGAAAUGGGGAAGCAGAGAUUGGGGCUUCCCAGGGAAGCAUUUCCUCCUCCCCCAUGUUAUAUUAGCUCCAUCCUUGAUCCACUGCUACUCAUGAAAAUGAGAAGGGCUGCUCCUUGUUCUUUCUCACAGAAAGAUGCAGUCGUUCUUCACCCAAGUAGAGUUACUGGCAAUAAAGGGAUUCAACUCUGGCCUCUUGCAUGUCCUCUCUUACAAGUACAUACACUGGCAGAGAAUAGCACUAGUCAAGGCUUUCCCCCUCUGCUGGAACUUGCUGUAAUGGCAUUCCAGUACCUCUCAGCUGGGUCCCAGUUAUGAGGGAGAGACCCAACCAUGAGGAGACUUUCCCAGGAACCAUAGAGGAUAUCCUCUAUUGCAGGGGUCAGCAAACCUUUUCAGCAGGGGGCCAGUUCAUUUUAAUGUUCCCCCCCAAAAUAUAGUCCGGCCCCCCACAAGGUCUGAGGGACAGUGGGCCAGCCUCCUGCUGAAAAAUUUUGCUGACCCCUGUGGUAGACUCUUAUAUUUGUUCUGCGGGGAAAAGCAGUUUUAUUCUGUUUAGCAAGCAGAACGCUGAAGCACAUAGAAUAUUCAUUCAAGGACCUUGGAAGAAAAACAGAGUGAACAUCUGAAUUGAUGUCCUCCUGCACCUCACUGUCAACUAUCCACAAUAGAAACUAUGACUAAUGCUUCCAGCAAUAUUCCUGUUGCCGCCAUGAACAUGUGUUUUUAUAAACAGAGACUAUUAUUGCAAAAACAGGAAGUGAAAAAGAAAGAACGAGAAUGCUGUAACGGUAGCAUUAUCUCUCUUUGUUAAACUGUACAGAUAAGAAGGGCAGGAUUCACCAGUACAGUGGUACCUCGGGUUACAUGCGCUUCAGGUUACAGACUCCACUAACCCAGAAAUAGUACCUCGGGUUAAGAACUUUGCUUCAGGAUGAGAACAGAAAUCGUGCUGUGGCGGCGCGGCGGCAGCAGGAGGCCCCAUUAGCUAAAGUGGUGCUUCAGGUUAAGAACAGUUUCAGGUUAAGAACGGACCUCUGGAACGAAUUAAGUACUUAACCUGAGGUCCCACUGUACAGGGCACAAGAUGGUUGCUGAGAACAGCAAACACUUUAGGUACAACUGAUAUAGCGGAUUUUACCAGCAACACCUUAACAAACACAGGGGUGCCCUGGUUGUAGGAAUGGGGAGAAUUCAAAUCAGAUUGCAUUUAAACAUGAAUUUACCCAUUUUACACUUGAUAAGAUAAUAUGUGGACUGAAACACCACCACCCUUUGAAAUUCGUACUUCUCUAAAUUUUGCAAUUCAGUUCUCCAGCCCAGCAAUAUGCACAAAAAUGCAUAUACUAAAGUAAAGUGUGCGUGAAAAUGCACAUAUUAGUGAAAAUAACAUGGGGGAAAUGCAUUAGGGAAAAUACAAUGAUGGGAUAAAAUAUAAGGUACUUUGCGAAAAUGUGUAAGGCAAAAUUGCAUACAAAAAUGUGCACAUAUUAGAAAUGCUGAUGAAUUUUCAGGAUGACGAUUUUUUAUUAUGUUAUUAUUAUUUUUAAAAGGUGAAUUCAGAAGCUGAUGUGGAAAUGUGGAGAAUUGAAGACUGGCGACAUGAGCAACCAAAAUUGACAGGUUUGCCCAACCCUACCUGGUCAAAACAUGUCUGAAAAUGAAAAAAAAAUAAAAAUGCGCAUGUUUUGGCAGCAGCGGCUGGUGAGCCAACACAAUGG
rnacentral:lncRNA from 1 species